rnacentral:rRNA from 1 species
UACGGAGGGUGCAAGCGUUGCUCGGAAUUAUUGGGCGUAAAGGGUAGGUAGGUGGUCUCAUUUGUCUGAGGUGAAAUCCUUGGGCUUAACUCAAGAAGUGCCUCAGAAACGGUGAGACUGGAGUCCUGGAGAGGGUCGUGGAAUUCCCGGUGUAGCGGUGAAAUGCGUAGAGAUCGGGAGGAACACCAGAGGCGAAGGCGGCGACCUGGACAGGCACUGACACUCAACUACGAAAGCGUGGGGAGCAAACAGG